CUGUGGGAGAAAGUUGUGCUGUUCGAGAGACUGAGCAGUACACACCAUAUCAGACACAAAGAAUGAGCCCCUGAGCACCAGACGGUCUGAUGAAAAGGAUAAAGGAUGAAAUUGCGGAUUUAAUUCAUCAUGGAAAGGUUUGCUGUCCCUGCUCUAACCUGAGUAACUGGCAGCAGCCCCAAGACAUUUUCUACAGCCUACAAGAGAAAUGAGCAAAACUGACCACAGAAGAGGGUGAGCAGCCAAGAGAGAAAACAAAAAGCCUAUCCUGGAAAAUAUAUUGCAUCAAUGAAUGAUCUGAAGUGCAUUAUCACCGGCAGGCGGAGAGAAUACAGUUUUUAAUGGAGAUGCGAUGGCAAACUUUUACACACUGUUGCGGUUUGGGGAUAGGCUUGUGUAUGGGGAAUAGGGGGUGUCAGAAGGCACUAUAAUUAUAACAAAUAAAUGAAAAUUAGCCAUUUGGAAUAAAAUAUGCACAUGGUGCCUAUUAAAGCUACUGAUGGUGAGCAGGGCCUGGCGGCAUUCAAGGCUUACUUUCUGAGCACCGUUUUGCUGUGUGUUUUGCCCUCACACGACCAACCUCUUAUGGUUUUCACCCUUGGGUCUGAAGUCAGCAGGUGAUCAUGUAUUUGCUGCAGUGGGCUACAGGGCGUGGGAUAUCCUCUUUGCAAUCUUAUUGUGCCUCUCUUGUUUCCCCGCCACACUCCUGUCCUCUCGCUCAAACCUACCUUCAGAAAAAAAAUUAUUUUUAAUGUUGAGUCCAUAUGUAGAACCUUUCCCCUUCCUUUUAAAUAGGACCCCUGGGUACAUGUGUUCUUAAUGAAGGUGGCAUUUUUACCUGUUUGUAAUUUGUCAAAAUUAGUAUUAAUACUAUUAACAUUAUAAUAGAGCAAUCUGAAAGGCAAGAAACAGAUCCCUGGUUGAUGUAAAUUAGCACAGCUCCAUUGAUUAGAAUGUAGCUAUGCUGGCUGAUUCACCUCAGGCUUGGAUCUGCUCCUCUUUCUUUCCUGGGAAUCUGUCUUGUCAUUGAAAAGCAGGCACUUCUCCCCUUACAUUGGCUUUUUUGGUGAGCCUGAUGACCAGCUUCAGGAGAAAACUUCAUCUUCUAAGCCACCUGUUUUCAGCCACCAUCAUCAUCCUGUAAUUAAAUGGGACACAGUGAAUGAGCUUGGGAGAGUGCGUUGCUCUCCGGGGCUUUGUUUGACAAUGUUAAUGCAAGAAACAGCUGUUAUGUUUAAGAAAUGUGAGUGAUUAUAGUGUAACAAUUAAAAUGGAGA